CCCUACGGGACGCAGCAGUGGGGAAUAUUGCACAAUGGGGGAAACCCUGAUGCAGCGACGCCGCGUGAGUGAAGAAGUAAUUCGUUACGUAAAGCUCUAUCAGCAGGGAAGAGAGUGACGGUACCUGAGUAAGAAGCCCCGGCUAACUACGUGCCAGCAGCCGCGGUAAUACGUAGGGGGCAAGCGUUAUCCGGAUUCACUGGGCGUAAAGGGAGCGCAGGCGGCGCGGCAAGUCUGAUGUGAAAGCCCGGGGCUCAACCCCGGGUCUGCAUUGGAAACUGUCGAGCUAGAGUGUCGGAGGGGUA
rnacentral:rRNA from 1 species